CGCAACCAUUUAAUUUGAAAAAGGAAUGCGCCCGUUUUUCGCCGUAAAUGUUGCAGCCUAAUUUUGGAUCGAGAAUUAAGUGCGACGAAGAUGGCCGUUAAUAAUAGUUCUACUACUUUAAGAACACGGUUCAGAUUUGGAUAACGAUAAACGACUUCGAAGGCAUUCGCAGGAGACCAAAUAGAGAAAGAGAGGGAGACACAAAACCACCUGUCUCGGUGUCACACAUGAGGAGUUGAGGAGGAGAUGAAGUCAGUGAAUAUGACCUGGCCUGGGGGAGUUUCCAGAAGAAGGCCCAGAAUCGCUGGAUGCCAGGAGUGGAGAUCCUUCGUUGCUGCCCUACAUGAUAGGAGGCAUCGGGCAGUAGAUGCUGUAAUUUGAAACGGAAGGUGUCCUGCCAAUAAAUUUUCAUCCCACCUGAACUGCCUUGCCUGCCUGCACCCAGUCAUCUGUUCCUGAGCAUUUUCAUUUUCCUCUAUUUUUCAUCAUCGUUUGUUUCGGCCUGUAUGAAGUGAAUUUCACAUUGAUUGGUGGAGCUGCUAAGUUGGCAUUAAGGGCCACGCCGGGGUAUGAUCCUUUGGGUUGAACAUCAUGACUGCUAGUUGGUCGGCAAAGGUGAUGGGAUCGAUCAAUGUCACAUGGAGUAAGAUCGAUACCAAUCUGCUUUGCUACAUUUCGAACAAUCUCAUACGGAUACGGAUAUUAUUGCGACAGGAGUACUGCUCGAUGUGGUCAAGCCUAUUUGACAAAGCAUUAUGGUGUUAGUCAUGUUAUCAGAAACCGAUUUUUCAAAAUCACGGAGUUGCUUCAAUUUAGUAUCGAUAGAUAUUUCAAGAACGUGUAGAUUAGUGAGCUUUUCAUCAAGAAUUUCACGCAAUCUAUUUUCGCGCUUAUCCAUGUCAUCAUUGAGUUUUUGUCUCUCGCGUUCCAUUGCCACGGCCACCGCUCUUUGAACGACUGUAUCAAUAUGAUCUAGGUAUGCUGGGCUUUGUUUAGAUCCAGUUAAUGAUGAAGCAGAGGAUUGUGUACAUGCGUUAGCCGAGUGCAAGCGGCCUCUUGAUCUGGUGGAUAUCUUAGACAUGUUAGAGAUUACGUAAUGAUAUAAUUGAAAAGUGGGAUGGGCUGUGCAUCUGCCAACUCACCAGUCAACCAAUUAGAGACGGCCUUCCAAAGUGACACAGCACGAAAAUAUCAAUAUGGGACUGGUCUAGUCAACACAUAGAUCCUGACAAAACCAUGGAGACCGCAGACGCAAAAUGACUUCCAUACAUAAAGAUAUGAUGCACAAUUUCCAGUGGGUUCAAAACACUGAACACAUGCUAUGCUGAUACACAGACUAUCAUAUUAAAGAACUUUAUCAAGCAAAGGAAAUCUGGUAUGAAAUCUCUCAGCUCACAUAAAAAGCCUACGUAGCUACAUGUAGGGAAGAAAAUGUGUAAUUGCUGAGAAAUGAGCAAAAUAAGCAUGUAAUUCUAUCAAAUGUCAGAUAUUUUUCGAAUCGAUUAUAAUACACUGUCCCACAUAUGCUUUUCUGUGUUUACAGCGAUCAUCAGAAUUAUCGAUUUUAAGUUUAAAAAUUCAUGAUUUUACAAAGAUACAAGUUUACAUUAAUGUACCAGAUGUAGAUUAUGUACAAUAUAUUGACAAUGAACUUUGAUUUUAUAGAUUUUCUCAAGAAAUAAUUGUUUUGCAACUACUGUCUUUUCCUUCUAAGUGAUAGUGUAAUACAACAGUUCCACAAACUAUUUUCAUCAGACUUAUUGAUGCAUGAUUCUUUCACCCAAAUGCAAGCUUCCAUAAAUCCUGAAAACUUUGCAACUCAGGUAUUUUUUUUUUUUACAUACAGUAUAUUUUGUCCUACAUUGCAUAGUUGCCUUAAGUUAAUAGCGCACCUCCAGUAGUAACUAUUUUAAAAUGAGUUCGAACAGAAUCCAACAGAAUUACCAGCAAAGUGUAUGUAUAUAUAAAAGAUGUGUGCCAAAAAGCUCGGGAAGAAAAUGUGUAAUUGCUGAGAAAUGAGCAAAAUAAGCAUGUAAUUCUAUCAAAUGUCGGAUAUUUUUCAAAUCAAUCAUAAUACACUGUCCUGUCCCACAUAUGCUUUUCUGUGUUAGUGAUCAUCAGAAUUAUUGAUUUUAAGAUCAAAAUUCAUGAUUUUACAAAGAUACAAGUUUACAUUAAUUUACCAGGGCCCCGUCUUACAAAGAGUUAUGAUUGAUCCGAUCAAUCGCAACUAUGGACGGUCAGCAACGUUAACAUCUAUUAAGCAUGUUUGUUCAAAAUAUUUUCUAGCUAUGAUGUAUGUUCAUGCAUUCAUUGUUUUCUCAAAAAUUUGCUGCGCUUCUCUUUGCAUACAAAGGACAUUGUGCAAAUUUUUCGUAGAAAAAAUUAUGACACUGAUGGAUUUCCAUAGAGUUAUGAUUGAUCGGAUCAAUCGUAACUCUUUGUAAGACAGGGCCCAGAUCUAGAUUAUGUACAAUAUUUUGACAAUUAACCUUAAUUUAAGAGACUUUCUGAAGAAAUAAUUGUUUGCUGCAACUACUGUCUUUUACCCCUGGCCCUAAGUGAUAGUGUAAUACAACCCAAACAUUUCAUAAGAAUUAAUGUACAUGUAUGAUUCUUUCACCCAAAUGCGAGCUUCCAUAAAUCCUGAAACUAUUCCAACUCGGGUAUUUUUUUUUACAUACAGUAUAUUUUUACCUACAUUACAUAGUUGUCUGAAGUUGAAGGUAUAUUUAAUUACAAUUUCAACGAAAAAGCUUUAUUCUUGGAGAUCAUUAUGCCUCUGUUAUGUAUUAAUGUGUAUUUAUACAUGUACAAUUGUAUGUAUUGGUAUAACAAACAUUGUAAUUUCAUUCCUUUGACCCUAAUACUGCAUUUUCAUAGAAAAGUGUUUUUUUUUUCAAUCUAUUUAGAGUUUUCAACAUUUUGUAUUCCUUUUUUUUUUGCUGGUAAUAUGUUAUGCAACUUUUAUUUAUUAAUAGAAUAUUUGCCACGAUUUCGUAAUUGAAAUGCGUACAUGUAUUUGAUUUCGUUUUCCAUUUUUGUAUAUAUUCUUUUUCGGGGGGGGGGGGGUCAUGUUCUUGAGACCGAGACAAGUUAUGCAAGGCCCUGGCAUGGAGGAUCAUUAUAUUGUUACUGGGAAUGCUGGACAUUGUCAGACCACCUCAGUAUUCACCAAAUAUAGAUAAUCCUCAAUGACAAGGUCUUUGAAGUGAUGUGUGUAUGUACAUUGCAUGUAGAAUUUAAUGUUUAGGUCAUUAUCACGUCAGAAUACGUUAAGAUAUCAUAGUUGACUCCAAAAGACGUCAUAUUCAUUUCAAUAUGCGACGUCAAUAUGACGUCUAUUACUAGUCAGCAAUAUGUUGCAAAGUCGUCAUUCAGACGUCGUAGUUGACUUAUAAACACGUCAUAAUUACAUCAAUAUGACGUCUAAAACUGGUCAGGAAUACGUCGCAAAGUUGUCAUUAAGACGUCGUAGAUGACUUUUAAAGACGUCAUAAUUACAUCAAUAUGACGUCUAAAACCGGUCAGGAACACGUUACACGGAUGUCAUUAAGACGUCGUUGUUGACUCUCGAAGACGUCAUAAUCACGUCAAUACACGACGUCAUUCUGACCCUUGAUACUGGUCAGGAAAACGUUGUAAAAACGUUGCUAAGACGUCAUUAAGACGUCGUAGUCACUCUUGGAGACGUCAUAAUGACGUCAAUAUACGACGUCAUAAUGACGUUAUUCGCGGGUGCAAGAUCCCGUCAAUAAGACGUCAUGAUACGACGUCAAAAUGACGUGACACUCGUCGUUAAACUGACGUAAUUAUGACGUCAUUUUUACCAGUUUCUGCUAUCAGGGAAAGUUCAAAAUGGUGAAUUAAAAUUUUCGAUUAUAACCUACAAUGAAAACAAUGCUCCCCCUCCCCCGCUUCCUUCUCCGAAAAGCUAUUUGAACUCGAAUUUAAUCGAUAAUACAUUCACGAUACACCCCAAAAUCCUUAUUCAAAAGACAAUUGCGAAAUUCAAUAGUACGAAUGUAGAAGGUCAACGUGCGUGUCAUUCAAAUAGUUCCGGGUCCGGUGACACGAAAAGCUUACCAUCUCAACUUCAAUUCUGAAUGGAUAAUAGUGCGGUUGUUAGCGCAUGAAAAGGGAUCCUUGAUUGGCCAUAACCAUUUUAUAAUUGAUUAUAAAGCAUAGUGUUAAAGGGCCCUAAUGCGUCCUGAACUUCUGAAGGGCAAAGUGUGUGACCACUCGAACAAACAAUGUUUUUUUUUAAUGAUAAACGAAACAAAACCAUGUUUUCAGUUUGGGGGGGGGGGGUAGUAGGAACAUACACAAUGGCCGGAGACGGGGAUGAAUUGUGACGUCAUCCGGGCCGAUCAAAGUUCAAUGAGGACAUUGCUGGCAAUAAAGACAUUUUCUGCAAAAGCAUAUAGAGCGAUUAAAUAUAAACUGAUACCAAUGUCAUAUAUUUAAUAGACAUUAAAGCUUUAAUCGUCGAGUUAAUAUCCGUAAUAAAAAGACCCUUAUGUGUUAAGGACAUAUCAGAUUAUUAUUCUUUUACGAGUUUCUACCUAAAUAAAAAAAAAAUGAGACCGAAGCCAAUUUUUUUUUUUUAAUGUAGCAAAUUUUGAUUGGAUCGAAAUUUCGAAUAAAGCUCCUAUUCAAUAAGAAUUAUUAUUACUCUGGCCUGUAACCCCGAUACGUUUAUGCCCCGUUGGCAGGACAGUGUGGAUUUGAAGAAAAUAUUGAGAAGGAAAAUGGGGAUGCUCCAAGCACCCCCAGAGCACCCCGCUUUCCAGAGUCCCGAGUUCACAUCCAGAUUAAUCCAGAUCUAACCAGAUCUAAAGCUUACUUUGUUACGACGCACGAUAUCAUAAUAAAAUUCGCAAUGGCUGCCCAUCUCUCCUUUCUACGAGUAUGUAUAUGGUGGUAAGUUAUAUGACCCCUCCCCCCCCCCCAAAAAAAAAAAAUUGCAAAAUCAACCGAAUUGCUAUCUAGAUAAACUUUGACGAUUUUUAGAAAUAACAAUCACUCUAACACGUUUACCAAAAUUGAGUUAUAUCCUUCAAGGUGUAUCUCCCUCAUAUAUAGUUCCACACCUUGAUCGAUUCCAAUGCCGGUUCCAAUGAUGUGUACGAGAUCGUAACACCUGGCAUUUGUUUGAUAUUAACUUGCUUAUCUUAAAGUAUCUACUUGACACUGAAACCUUAAUCAACUGCAAAAUAAUGAAACACGUCAUAAUCGCUGUAAUAUCAAUGAUAUUAUGUACCUACAUCAUAAAAAAGAAGCUACUCCCAUAUUGUGCGCAGAAAAAAGCAAUCCCUAAUAACUUACCUAUAUGCUCUGAUAUAUUAUCUGAAUCCCCACCAAUAUUAUGUCCUUAAUUUCAGUUGAAAAUGAUGAAAGUGUGGAUAUGCCCAGGUAUAAUUAGUCGGACCGUCUCCUUCCAGUGCCGAAAACA